rnacentral:tRNA from 1 species
GCGGAACGGAAAACAUGCUGUAAACACCGGUUUAUAUAGCUUUUUCCGGGGACUUAAAAUCCCCCGCUCGUAAGGGCGUGCCGGUUCGAUUCCGGCUUCGGCACCA